rnacentral:tRNA from 1 species
CGGGGCGUAGCUCAGCCUGGACUAGAGCGCUUGACUGGGGGUCAAGAGGUCGCUGGUUCAAAUCCAGUCGCCCCGA